rnacentral:RNase_P_RNA from 1 species
GGAGUCGGCCAGGCAACCGCGGUCCUGAAUUCUGUCUAACACCCUUUGGGUCUAGAUGGUGCGGGAUGGAGGAAAGUCCGGGCUCCGAAGGGCAGGGUGCCAGAUAACAUCUGGACAGCGUGAGCUGAUGGAAAGUGCCACAGAAAAUAUACCGCCUCGGUUAUUUUUAAUUAAGGUAAGGGUGAAAAGGUGCGGUAA